UACGGGGGGGGUAAGCGUUGUUCGGAAUUACUGGGCGUAAAGGGCUCGUAGGCGGCCAACUAAGUCAGACGUGAAAUCCCUCAGCUUAACUGGGGAACUGCGUCUGAUACUGGAUGGCUUGGAUCCGGGAGAGGGAUGCGGAAUUCCAGGUGUAGCGGUGAAAUGCGUAGAGAUCGGGAGGAAGGCCGGUGGCGAAGGCGGCGCUCUGGAACAUUUCUGACGCUGAGGCUCGAAAGCGUGGGGAGCAAACAGG
rnacentral:rRNA from 1 species